AGUAAACGCUGGCGGUAGGCCUAACACAUGCAAGUCGAACGGCAGCACAGUAAGAGCUUGCUCUUACGGGUGGCGAGUGGCGGACGGGUGAGGAAUACAUCGGAAUCUACUUUUUCGUGGGGGAUAACGUAGGGAAACUUACGCUAAUACCGCAUACGACCUACGGGUGAAAGCAGGGGAUCUUCGGACCUUGCGCGAUUGAAUGAGCCGAUGUCGGAUUAGCUAGUUGGCGGGGUAAAGGCCCACCAAGGCGACGAUCCGUAGCUGGUCUGAGAGGAUGAUCAGCCACACUGGAACUGAGACACGGUCCAGACUCCUACGGGAGGCAGCAGUGGGGAAUAUUGGACAAUGGGCGCAAGCCUGAUCCAGCCAUACCGCGUGGGUGAAGAAGGCCUUCGGGUUGUAAAGCCCUUUUGUUGGGAAAGAAAAGCAGCAGGUUAAUACCCCGCUGUUCUGACGGUACCCAAAGAAUAAACACCGGCUAACUUCGU
rnacentral:rRNA from 1 species